AUGUGCAGCCUGUUGGAAAGUGUCUUUUUUUUUUUUUUUUUUUCGUUUCCGGGUGUCAGAAGUGACAUUGCGUAACCUUUCUGGUAAAUUAGAUUAAAAAAAGAUGACGCUGCAGUUCAACCACCAAGUUCAAAGAAAUAAACACAUAAUCCGUUGGGCAGCGGCCGUGACUGUGCGACUGUACACUCCAACAGACCCCUCCAGCCAGGCUGUGACACAGAAGAACAACAAGCAACAUUGAUACUUAAGACUGUGGACAUCACCAUGAGAAGAGAAUACUUCCUCAAAUCUCUGAUCUACCUUGGCGAACCUGUUGAGUUAUCAAAGAAUACCAGGAAAAUGUGGCUGAAGAACUGGAGCAGACAACCAUGGCGAUCUUUAUCACUGGGAAAGAGGAUCCUCUCCAUCCACCCAAAUACAUCAAAAUUGUCAUCGAAGGAACAGAGGUCCUGAACGAGUUGCCCUCGGUUGCAACAGCUUUUGCCAUGGUCUUUGGGCUCAUAGACACACUCAACCUAAAAUAUCCGAAAAGGCUGCAGUUCACC